AUUGAACGCUGGCGGAAUGCUUUACACAUGCAAGUCGAACGGCAGCACGGGGGCAGCCCUGGUGGCGAGUGGCGAACGGGUGAGUAAUACAUCGGAACGUGCCCGGUCGUGGGGGAUAACGCAGCGAAAGUUACGCUAAUACCGCAUACGAUCUGAGGAUGAAAGCGGGGGACCUUCGGGCCUCGCGCGAUCGGAGCGGCCGAUGUCAGAUUAGGUAGUUGGUGGGGUAAAGGCCUACCAAGCCGACGAUCUGUAGCUGGUCUGAGAGGACGACCAGCCACACUGGGACUGAGACACGGCCCAGACUCCUACGGGAGGCAGCAGUGGGGAAUUUUGGACAAUGGGCGCAAGCCUGAUCCAGCCAUUCCGCGUGCAGGACGAAGGCCUUCGGGUUGUAAACUGCUUUUGUACGGAACGAAAAGGCUCUGGCUAAUACCUGGGGCUCAUGACGGUACCGUAAGAAUAAGCACCGGCUAACUACGUG
rnacentral:rRNA from 1 species